CCGCCGGCGACCGGCGCACGGGCGAGUAACACGUAUGCAACCUGGCCGUGACAGAUGGAUAACCGGGAGAAAUCCCGCCUAAUACAGCAUGACGCCGGGAAGGGACAUCCCUUUCCGGCCAAAGGGGGCGACUCCGGUCACGGAUGGGCAUGCGGCGCAUUAGGUAGUUGGUGGGGCAACGGCCCACCAAGCCGACGAUGCGUAGGGGUUCUGAGAGGAAGGUCCCCCACAUUGGAACUGAGACACGGUCCAAACUCCUACGGAAGGCAGCAG
rnacentral:rRNA from 1 species